rnacentral:lncRNA from 1 species
CACUAUGCAUCUUGGAGGUCCAACAGCUUUUUUCAUUGCAUGGCUCGCUAAUUUCAAGCUAUUGCUCUUUGCUUUUGGCAAGGGCCCUUUGUCUUCAUCAUUGUCUCUUGCACACUUUGUUGCUGUAGCUUGCCUACCUAUCAAGCUCCAGCAAAUUUCAUUUCCAAAAUCAGCUAAGAUGUUUCAAGAUGGUGAAAAAUCUUCUCUAAAUUACACCAUAAAAUCUCUUCUUCUGGCUCUUUUGAUCCAUGUUUAUAGAUAUGAAGACCACAUCAACCCAAAGACUGUACCUUUUUUAUAUUGUCUCCAAGUGUACUUAUCCCUUGAACUGCUUCUAGCCAUAAUGGGAACUCUGGCUCUAGUCUUACUAGGGCUAGAGCUGGAGCCACAGUUCAA